rnacentral:snRNA from 1 species
AUACUUACCUGGACGGGGUCUAUGGCUUAUCAAGAAGGUCCAUGGCCUAAGGUAGUAACUUCCAUUGCACAUUGGAGGGGUAUUGCUUUAAGGUCUGUCAAGAAUGAUAGAGCCUACGUCAUAAUUUGUGGCAAUGGAGCUUGCGUUCGCGCAGCUCUUUC